UGGGGAAUAUUGCACAAUGGGGGGAACCCUGAUGCAGCGACGCCGCGUGGAGGAAGAAGGUCUUCGGAUUGUAAACUCCUGUUGUUAGGGACGAUAAUGACGGUACCUAACAAGGAAGCACCGGCUAACUACGUGCCAGCAGCCGCGGUAAAACGUAGGGUGCAAGCGUUGUCCGGAAUUACUGGGUGUAAAGGGAGCGCAGGCGGGCAUGCAAGUUGGAAGUGAAAACUAUGGGCUCAACCCAUAGCCUGCUUUCAAAACUGCGUGUCUUGAGUAGUGCAGAGGUAGGCGGAAUUCCCGGUGUAGCGGUGGAAUGCGUAGAUAUCGGGAGGAACACCAGUGGCGAAGGCGGCCUACUGGGCACCAACUGACGCUGAGGCUCGAAAGCAUGGGUAGCAAACAGG
rnacentral:rRNA from 1 species